AGUGAACGCUGGCGGUAGGCCUAACACAUGCAAGUCGAACGGCAGCACAGUAAGAGCUUGCUCUUACGGGUGGCGAGUGGCGGACGGGUGAGGAAUACAUCGGAAUCUACUUUUUCGUGGGGGAUAACGUAGGGAAACUUACGCUAAUACCGCAUACGACCUACGGGUGAAAGCAGGGGAUCUUCGGACCUUGCGCGAUUGAAUGAGCCGAUGUCGGAUUAGCUAGUUGGCGGGGUAAAGGCCCACCAAGGCGACGAUCCGUAGCUGGUCUGAGAGGAUGAUCAGCCACACUGGAGCGGAGACACGGUCCAGACUCCUACGGGAGGCAGCAGUGGGGAAUAUUGGACAAUAGGCGCAAGCCUGAUCCAGCCAUACCGCGUGGGUGAAGAAGGCCUUCGGGUUGUAAAGCCCUUUUGUUGGGAAAGAAAAGCAGCAGGUUAAUACCCCGCUGUUCUGACGGUACCCAAAGAAUAAGCACCGGCUAACUUCGUG
rnacentral:rRNA from 1 species